UACAGAGGUCUCAAGCGUUGUUCGGAUUCAUUGGGCGUAAAGGGUGCGUAGGCGGCGCGGUAAGUCGGGUGUGAAAUCUUGGAGCUUAACUCCGAAACUGCAUUCGAUACUGCCGUGCUUGAGGACUGGAGAGGAGACUGGAAUUUACGGUGUAGCGGUGAAAUGCGUAGAUAUCGUAAGGAAGACCAGUGGCGAAGGCGGGUCUCUGGACAGU
rnacentral:rRNA from 1 species